UACGAACGCUACAAACACGAAAAUGUUGGAUCUUAUUUUUGAACUUAUUUUCAAGUACAUACUUCCAUUAUCACAUCAACAAAUGACUCAAUAUGUAGACGAGCUAAAUUAUAUAAGGAGUAUACCUACCUAUAUUAUUAUGUGUUAUUUAUGGUAUACAGAAUGAUUUCAACGUCAAUGAUGAUAUUAUAAUAAUAAUACACACAAUUUAAAUUUAACGUAUAACACAAUUUUACCUCUGAUAUUUGAAUGACGAUUAGUAUUUGACUUAGCGAGGAAUUGUUCAAUCACGCAAAACUAUAAUACAGAAUACUCUAGAUUCAUUAAAAGAGUUUUUUUUAUGUCUUAUUAAACAAGGGAUUCACUAGUUAUCGAAAUAUAUCUAUUUAAAUAUAUGAUUUGUACUUGGACAACCGAGAUUGCCGAGACAUC